GGCGGACGGGUGAGUAACACGUGGGAAACCUGCCCAGAAGCGGGGGAUAACACCUGGAAACAGAUGCUAAUACCGCAUAACAACUUGGACCGCAUGGUCCGAGUUUGAAAGAUGGCUUCGGCUAUCACUUUUGGAUGGUCCCGCGGCGUAUUAGCUAGAUGGUGGGGUAACGGCUCACCAUGGCAAUGAUACGUAGCCGACCUGAGAGGGUAAUCGGCCACAUUGGGACUGAGACACGGCCCAAACUCCUACGGGAGGCAGC
rnacentral:rRNA from 1 species